rnacentral:misc_RNA from 1 species
UUUUUUUGUUUUGUAUUUGGUUACAUUCAUUAACUUGGAGUUAUAAAGUAAAGCCGCAAGAGACUUCAAAGUUCGUGAGGCGCAGAACGCCGUCCUUACUAUUCGAAACUCUCGCCAAUAAGUGCACAGUGUUAGAAGUGGAGGUCGGGCACUACGAAUAGUCACCCUAAAUUCACUAAUGAUCCUUCCGCAGGUUCACCUACGGAAA